rnacentral:rRNA from 1 species
CCUACGGGAGGCUACAGUGGGGAAUAUUGCACAAUGGGGGAAACCCUGAUGCAGCGACGCCGCGUGAGUGAAGAAGUAUUUCGGGAUGUAAAGCUCUAUCAGCAGGGAAGAAGCACGGCGGUACCUGACUACGAAGCCCCGGCUAACUACGUUCCAGCAACCGCGGUAAUACGUAGGGGGCAAGCGUUAUCCGGAUUUACUGGGUGUAAAGGGAGCGUAGACGGUAUGGCAAGUCUGAAGUGAAAGCCCAGGGCUUAACCCUGGGACUGCUUUGGAAACUGUUAGACUAGAGUGCUGGAGAGGUAAGUGGAAUUCCUAGUGUAGCGGUGAAAUGCGUAGAUAUUAGGAGGAACACCAGUGGCGAAGGCGGCUGACUGGACAGUAACUGACGUUGAGGCUCGAAAGCGUGGGGAGCAAACAGGAUUAGAUACCCCUGUAGUC